AUUGAACGCUGGCGGCAGGCCUAACACAUGCAAGUCGAGCGGAUGAAGGGAGCUUGCUCCUGGAUUCAGCGGCGGACGGGUGAGUAAUGCCUAGGAAUCUGCCUUGUAGUGUGGGAUAACGUCCGUAAACGGGCGCUAAUACCGCAUCCGACCUGAGGGAGAAAGUGGGGGAUCUUCGGACCUCACGCUAUCAGAUGAGCCUAGGUCGGAUUCGCUAGUUGGUGGGGUAGGGGCCUACCAAGGCGACGACCCGUAACUGGUCUGAUAGGAUGACCAGUCACACUGGAACUGAACCACGGUCCGGACUCCUACGGGAGGCACCAGUGGGGAAUAUUGGACAAUGGGCGAAAGCCUGAUCCAGCCAUGCCGCGUGGGUGAAGAAGGUCUUCGGAUUGAAAAGCACUUUAAGUUGGGAGGAAGAGCAGUAGGGUAAUACCUUGCUGUUUUGACGGUACCAACAGAAUAAGCACCGGCUAACUUCGUG
rnacentral:rRNA from 1 species